rnacentral:rRNA from 1 species
GCAGCAUAAUCUUCGGAUUGAUGGCGAGUGGCGGACGGGUGAGUAAUAUAUAGGAAUCUGCCUUGUAGUGGGGGAUAACUAUCCGAAAGGAUAGCUAAUACCGCAUAAUGAUUACGGUUUAAAGCAGGGGAUCUUCGGACCUUGCGCUACAAGUUGAGCCUAUACAAGAUUAGCUAGUUGGUGAGGUAAAGGCUCACCAAGGCGACGAUCUUUAGCUGGUCUGAGAGGAUGAUCAGCCACACUGGGACUGAGACACGGCCCAGACUCUUACGGGAGGCAGCAGUGGGGAAUAUUGGACAAUGGGCGCAAGCCUGAUCCAGCAAUACCGCGUGUGUGAAGAAGGCCUUCGGGUUGUAAAGCACUUUUGUUAGGGAGGAUGGUGAUUUUGGCGAAUACCCAAAGUCAUUGACGUUACCUAAAGAAUCAGCACCGGCUAACUCCGUGCCAGCAGCCGCGGUAAUACGGAGGGUGCAAGCGUUAAUCGGAUUUACUGGGCGUAAAGGGUGCGUAGGCGGUUACUUAAGUCAGAUGUGAAAUCCCCGGGCUCAACCUGGGAAUUGCAUUUGAUACUGGGUGACUUAGAAUGUGGUAGAGGGUAGCGGAAUUUCUGGUGUAGCGGUGAAAUGCGUAGAUAUCAGA